GAAAACAACAUGGCGGAAAGUCAGAUGUGAGAUCAAGGAAAAACAACAACAAGUUUGGAGAUAUGGCGCUUGAUGGAGAAGAGAGUACCCCGGUACCAAACCUGGCGCUGGAAACUAUUGUGAAGCCAGCUAUUCGUGAGAUGGAGCCUUUUUUCGAUAAACAAGCUGUUGAAAGUCUUAGAGCUGCUUUUGUCAAGGCUGAAAAAGAGAUCCCAGGACUCACACAACAAAUUGUUGGAGAAAUUUUAAAAUCAGGUACAUGAGUGUUUUACUGGAAAAUAUUCUACAUUCAGGACCCAAACAUUAAAACUUCUUCUGGGAAACUAUAUCUAUGAUCCCAGUGAGGAUAUUUAUUAAUGAUGGCUUCAUUUCCCACGUUUUCAUACAUGUCCUGCCAGGGCAUGAUCCUGGAGUGGAGUGCACCAACCAUGAGGCCAUCGCGCCUCCCCUUUACUGCAUUAAGUCAGCUGCUUAUUAUUUAACAAAUUUUGACCAUAUCCAUAUGUGGUAAGGACAUCCUCACCAUCUGUCAUACCUAUUAAAUAAAUAUCCUGCAAUAUAAUAUGUUGUUUUCCAUGUAUUUAGGAAGUUUUGAAAGACUUGCCAACAUCUUUCUGUACAAUUACCCUUAUCCUAGCUGUCAAUUUGUUGACAAUUAUUCUGCUCUAGUAUGAGACAUUACCUUACUUUAGUCCAUGCGAGCUACAGACCCAUCAGCUUACAUGCAGUGCCAGGUGAUAUUCUGCAUGAUUGUGCUGGGUAAUUGAAGGGGUGAGUGCAAAACCAUGCUAAGUGACGAUUUGGGUGAAAAAAAAAAUUUUCA